GCCGCCUUAGCUCAGUCGGUUAGAGCGACGCACUCGUAAUGCGUAGGUCGGGAGUUCGACUCUCCCAGGCGGCU
rnacentral:tRNA from 2 species